AUUGAACGCUGGCGGAAUGCUUUACACAUGCAAGUCGAACGGUAGAGGGGGCAACCCUUGAGAGUGGCGAACGGGUGAGUAAUAUAUCGGAACGUGCCCAGUCGUGGGGGAUAACGUAGCGAAAGUUACGCUAAUACCGCAUACGAUCUACGGAUGAAAGCGGGGGGACUCGCAAGAGCCUCGCGCGAUUGGAGCGGCCGAUAUCAGAUUAGCUUGUUGGUAAGGUAAGAGCUUACCAAGGCGACGAUCAGUAUCUGGUUUGAGAGGACGAUCAGACACACUGGAACUGAGACACGGUCCAGACUCCUACGGGAGGCAGCAGUGGGGAAUUUUCCGCAAUGGGCGAAAGCCUGACGGAGCAAUACCGCGUGAGGGAAGAAUGCCUAUGGGUUGUAAACCUCUUUUUCAGGGAGGAAUAAAAUGACGUGUACCUGAAGAAUAAGCAUCGGCUAACUCCGUG
rnacentral:rRNA from 1 species